rnacentral:rRNA from 1 species
UACGGAGGGUGCAAGCGUUAUCCGGAUUCACUGGGUUUAAAGGGUGCGUAGGUGGUUAUGUAAGUCAGUGGUGAAAGCCCGCGGCUCAACCGUGGAAUUGCCAUUGAAACUGCGUAACUUGAGUAUAGUUGAAGUGGGCGGAAUACAUCAUGUAGCGGUGAAAUGCUUAGAUAUGAUGUAGAACACCGAUUGCGAAGGCAGCUCACUAAACUGUAACUGACACUGAGGCACGAAAAGCGUGGGGAGCGAACAGG